GGUUUCCUGGUCUAGUUGGUUAUGACAACUCCUUUACACGGAGUAGGUCUCCGGUUCGAACCCGGAGGAGAUCA